GAUGAACGCUAGCUACAGGCUUAACACAUGCAAGUCGAGGGGUAACGAGAGGAAAGCUUGCCUUCCUUGUCGACGACCGGCGCACGGGUGAGUAACGCGUAUCCAACCUGCCCCCAACUAGGGAAUAACCUUGCGAAAGUAAGACUAAUACCCUAUAAUUUCCUCAGAUGUCAUCUGACGAGGAAUAAAGAUUUAUCGGUUGUGGAUGGGGAUGCGUCUGAUUAGCUUGGUGGCGGGGUAACGGCCCACCAAGGCAACGAUCAGUAGGGGUUCUGAGAGGAAGGUCCCCCACAUUGGAACUGAGACACGGUCCAAACUCCUACGGGAGGCAGCAGUGAGGAAUAUUGGUCAAUGGGCGGAAGCCUGAACCAGCCAAGUAGCGUGCAGGAUGACGGCCCUAUGGGUUGUAAACUGCUUUUAUACAGGAAUAAAGUUAGCCACGUGUGGUUAUUUGUAGGUACUGUAUGAAUAAGGACCGGCUAAUUCCGUGCCAGCAGCCGCAGUAACAC
rnacentral:rRNA from 1 species